GAAAUGAAGGAGAGAAUGAAGAGGGUGGGGAGGAAACAGGAGGGGAAGGAGGAGAGGGAAUGAGGGGAGAGGAGACAGGAGUGGACGGGGAAGGAGAGCAGCCUACUCCAGUGGACGGGGAAGGAGAGCAGCCUACUCCAGUGGACGGGGAAGGAGAGCAGCCUACUCCAGUGGACGGGGAAGGAGAGCAGCCUACUCCAGUGGACGGGGAAGGAGAGCAGCCUACUCCAGUGGACGGGAGAGAGAAAGCAACACCAUAGCCAGAUCCAGCCCUGCCAGGGGAGACGAGACGACCCCUCAGUCCAACAACACUGAUCCCAGGAUGACUAAUGGAGCCCAGAGACUUCAGACCACAUCGCCAGACAGACAGACAGACAUGACUAAUCUAUCCAGUGACUUGAUCUGUAGUCUCUCAGGAAGGCCAGAGGACCUGUGGUUGAUGUUUUUAAUAGUUCUGACUGUUUCAGUAAACAGCCUGACAGUGAUGUUUGACUGUUUCAGUAACCAGCCUGACAGUGAUGUUUGACUGUUUCAGUAAACAGUCUGACAGUGAUGUUUGACUGUUUCAGUAACCAGCCUGACAGUGAUGUUUGACUGUUUCAGUAACCAGCCUGACAGUGAUGUUUGACUGUUUCAGUAACCAGCCUGACAGUGAUGUUUGACUGUUUCAGUAACCAGCCUGACAGUGAUGUUUGACUGUUUCAGUAACCAGCCUGACAGUGAUGUUUGACUGUUUCAGUAACCAGCCUGACAGUGAUGUUUGACUGUUGGCAGAUGUUGUUUUACAGGUGUGUGACGUCACAUAUACAUACACAUUGAACUAAUUGUUGUUGUUCUUCAAUAAAAUGUUUUAAAUCUG